GGUCGAGAUGCAACACCAUAUUUAGAAAGAAAUCGGGUUGGUCGUGAUGCCAUCGAUUCAGCAGCUGCUUUAACCGACAUGGGCAAAUAUCUGUUCCGAGAACGUCGACUACCAGUUUAUGAUAUUGCAGUUGCGAUAACAAAGUAUGAUAUGUGUCGCAGAAGAAAAGGUGGCCGAUGCACAAAAGGAACAGCGGGUAACCAUCUAAAUUUCCAAGCCCAAAUGAGAUAAAAACUAAAUAAUCAGCAAAUAACAAUCUGCAUUUAGUUUAACUUUUGGUGGUUUUAAUUUGUUUUUUUUUUUUCAACUGUAAUAGCUCAUCUGAUUUAUAUAGGUUGUGUUUUUUUGUCAAUUCUGAUAGUAGAUAGUGGGAAAAUUAGUUUGCAUAUAAGAGUCGUUGAAUAUCUUAACAGCAUUGGCUUUAUUUUUUUACUAAAUGCCAUAAUUCAAGUGCAUUGGUAGUCAUUUUUCAUUGCUUAAACGAUAUUUAUUCAUGAUCAAAUAAAACAUUCAUUACGACAUGUGCAACAAUGAUGCAAAUACAGCGCGAGUAACAUUCUGAUAAAAAUGUUAUUGUUAGUGUUGCACUACCCCGAUGGCGAUGGUAAUAAUAAACUUUAUUAAACUUUUAUGGAUUCUUCAGUUGAGAAAAUAUUAAUAUUUUUUGCCAUAAAAUCGUUGAUCAAAUUCAUUUCGAAUCGAGCAAUUCCAAUUUAUUCAGAGGUGCUACAGACAAUAUUGUUUUUCAAGUCAAAGUUCAUUAAUCGUUAGUAAAUGGUAUGAAACAAUUAUAUAAAAAUUGAUUAUCUUUUUUGCCUCUAGAUGAAACAAUAUCAACCAAAACGUUUGAAUUAUAUCAUUGAUUAUGAUGCAAUUAUAUUUAUAGCAAAAAGAAAGAAAAAGCCUAUUUAAAGUCGGCAGUCAAGUUCAACAGUCCAUAUCGAAAUUCCGAUUACUUCAGUUUCAAUUUCAUCGAAUGUCUUACGUAGAAACUUAUGUCACAGCUCUCUCAAUUUCUUUAUUUGCUUCAUGUGCUACAUGUAUCUUUUGUAUUAUUUUUUUUUAUUAUUAAGUAACGUUCGCACUAACAACGGAAUUCCAUAAAUGAAUGAUCCCAAUUGUUAUAGUUUAGCCGUGUGCAAUCAACAUAUGCGAGAGCGAACGCAGUAAAAUCGCAUACGGAAGUGAAUCGGCGAUAACUAGGAUUACGUAAUAUUAUGUGGUUUAACUAAAAAAAAAAAUUAACCAUUUACCUUUCGUAGAAUUUUGCCAAAACAAUAUAUAGUCUGGGUGGAAUUUUAAUUGAAUUUUCAAAUAAUAAUUGUGAUUAGAUAGAUUAAAAAAAAUUUAAAUCUGGAAUUAACAAAAACAAAAAAAAUUCUUUGGUUUUUUCCUAAUGUCAAACAUAAUAUUUCUAAUUUGAUCCAAAUGAAAUGAAUGAUGAAAUAGGUUAGUUGUAAGAGCUUUGGAUAAAAAUCAGAUUAAAAUAUCUCAA